rnacentral:rRNA from 1 species
GAUGAACGCUGGCGGCGUGCCUAAUACAUGCAAGUCGAGCGAACAGACGAGGAGCUUGCUCCUCUGACGUUAGCGGCGGACGGGUGAGUAACACGUGUAUAACCUACCUAUAAGACUGGGAUAACUUCGGGAAACCGGAUCUAAUACCGGAUAAUAUAUUGAACCGCAUGGUUCAAUAGUGAAAGACGGUUUUGCUGUCACUUAUAGAUGGAUCCGCGCCGCAUUAGCUAGUUGGUAAGGUAACGGCUUACCAAGGCGACGAUGCGUAGCCGACCUGAGAGGGUGAUCGGCCACACUGGAACUGAGACACGGUCCAGACUCCUACGGGAGGCAGCAGUAGGGAAUCUUCGGCAAUGGGCGAAAGCUUGACGGAGCAACGCCGCGUGAGUGAUGAAGGUCUUCGGAUCGUAAAACUCUGUUAUUAGGGAAGAACAAAUGUGUAAGUAACUAUGCACGUCUUGACGGUACCUAAUAAGAAAGCCACGGCUAACUACGUG